CAGACCCACAGGUGUGUUUAUCCUUGAGUCUGGUGUUGCCCCGUUCCCCCAGCUGUGUUUACACGGACCUCAGAUGGCUCCCCAAUUCCUCAGGGGUGUCUAAACUUACUGCGGUUGUCUACACCACAUUGGGAUGUCUCCCCACUUAUCCAGGGUCUAGGUCAACCACGCAGCACUUCCCUGCUCAGCACAAGUUACGUGACCUGCCCCAGGACUUCCCUGUGCCCCACACAGGAAGAGUACCCACGCUUACCCAUCAGCAAACGCCCAGCGUGACGUCCUGUUCCUGCUCGCCUCCCUGGCCUCGCACAGGUCUUCGCCGCUGCUGUUCAUCUGCGAGAUUCAGUAACGCCGGACUCACGAGGCAUAGAUACAAGCCGGACAGGAAAAAUGGAUCAGCUUUGACGAGAAGGAUGGCAUCUGAGGAAGACGGCACGUGGCUCUGGGGACAAGAGGAGACACAGGCCACGGGUGAGUUCCUCUUGUGAGCUCUGCACGUGAGCCGCCUGGUCUCGUGGGCUCUCUGCUCCAGUGUUUAGCGGGUCCCCUCGAGCUGGCAGGUGCUUGCAUUUCGAGCCUGCCGUCCUGCCCCGUGUUGGUCCACAGUCUUGAUUUGCGGGGUGCUGCUGGUGUGACCCUCGAGCAGAAGUGACAAAUCUGUCCAACAGAAACCAAGGAGACGUGGGACCCCGAGGUGCUGAAGAAUCGGACGAUCCCUCUCCUCGUACCCGGCUCUUCAACUGCUCGGAAACCACGGCUCUGGAGGCCGUGACACCUGCGGAAACGGCAACGCCUCACCGGGGGGCAUCUUACGGGGUGCUACAGAUGGAUCUUCUGCUGACCCAGAUGGGACCCACUGGGACACCUCACUUGCUCUGGAGCCUCCAGACAGGAGACUGAGGAAGCUGGCAGAAGCUGGCAAAGAGAGGAAGGAUAACCCAAACCUUGGGUGCGUAUUUCACAACUGACAUCUGGUCCUGUGCUAACUCAGGAGACCGCAAAACCCAAGUGACCAGGAGAGAAGCUGCGAACAGCACGAGGUAGCCUGUUUCCUCCAGAUGCUGGAUCAAGAAGGCUUCUUUCUAGGGAUAUUCACAGGUGAGAGAAUGAAAACUGACCCCUAUCUUACAGCACUCACAAAAAUUAACUUGAAGUGGAUUAAAGACUUAAUGUAAGACCUGAAGUCAUGAAAGUCCUAGAAAAAAAAAAUAGGAAAAAAAGCUCCUUGACAUGGUCUUGGUGAUGAUUUUAUGGAAGUCACACCUAAAGCACUAGCAACAAAAUAAAAAAAAACACAAACUCCUGGGACUACAUCAAUCUAAAAAGCUUCUGCAUGGCCAAAGAAACCAUCAACAAAGUGAAAAGAAACCUACGGAAUGGGAAAAAAUAUUUG